rnacentral:rRNA from 1 species
UACGUAGGGGGCUAGCGUUGUCCGGAUUUAUUGGGCGUAAAGAGCGUGUAGGCGGCCAGGUAGGUCUGCUGUGAAAACUCGAGGCUCAACCUCGAGACGUCGGCGGAAACCAUCUGGCUAGAGUCCGGAAGAGGAGAGUGGAAUUCCUGGUGUGAGCGGUGAAAUGCGCAGAUAUCAGGAAGAACACCCGUGGCGAAGGCGGCUCUCUGGGACGGUACUGACGCUGAGACGCGAAAGCGUGGGGAGCGAACAGG